rnacentral:rRNA from 1 species
CAAAAUUAUCCUAUUAAUUUAGUUUUCUCGAAUUUAGAAGAGCUAUUAGUUUAUAUAUUUUAUUGUAGAAUAAAUAUUUUUAAUAAACUGCUAGUAAUGAAACGUUAUUCGUUUCUAAAUAUAUCUAGUUUUUUAAGAAAUGAAUUUAAUUCAGCUUUUUAAUAAAAAUUUUCUUUAUUUUUAGUUAAUUUUUUUAAUAAGGUAAUAUUUAAAGGGAUGAGCUUUUAAAUAAAUUUUUAUAAGUUAGGUAUUUUAAUUAAGAUAAAUAGGAUUAGAAGUUUCCAUUUUUAAAAUAGUGUUAUAAUUGAUCUUAGUUUAAAUAUUAUUUUUAUUAACUUUAGGUUUUUUAUUAAAAUUUAAUUUUAAAUAAUAAAAGAUUAGGAAUAAUGAUAGAAUUAGUAUAAUUUAAUUUAAAAUUUAAUUAUUAAUUUAAAGGUAAAGCAAAGGAAUUCGGCAAAAAAUUUUUUCCACCUGUUUAUUAAAAAC